ensembl:lncRNA
GCGGCACCAAGGUUACACUGUCACACUUUGUUUCACCCUGUUUCUCAUAAAUGUUCACUGUAUGAGGGCAGCCUGAUAGGAGCCAGACUGUCUUCCUCAUCCACCAUGCAAAACCAUCAUAGUCCGCACUUCAGCAUUAUUGAAGCAGCGUGGGAUCAUUUUGACAGAUAAGGAAGGAUAAGGCAGCCGAAAUCCAAAGAUGAGCUUUGAUUGUCCUUUACGAACUCUGGAGAAGCAUCCCUGAAGACUACUUAAAGAAAUUAGAAGAAAACUGACUAAGAGAGGUCAGGCUGUGUUAAAGAAUAAAGGUGGUCACACCAAAUAUUGAUCUUCAAGCUUGUUAAAAUUGUAGAUACACUGUUUUUGCCUUAUUUACUGCAUUUCAUUAUAUUAAAAAAACAAAACAACUGAUGCACAAAUUACCAAUUUUCCAAGUAAAAUAUCAAGAAAUGAGAUAUGCUAAUACAGUAAUGUGCUCAAAAUUUUUGCACAUUACUGUAUUGUACUGUAUUAUUAAUAAUUAUUUUAAUUAAUUUUGUUUGCUCACUCACUUAAGGUACUGCAUGUACAAAAAAAAGGUUGCCUUUCAAUCCUGUAAACAAACAUGAUUAAAAAAAAUCUACUAGCUUUUUAAAAAAAUGUCAGAAAACAUCUUGUACCACAUGUGUCUUGGGUUCUUAUCAGAGAGGAAGUUCUUUGCUGGGUUACCAAACAGCCACCAUACUCAAAUGUUUACUCAGCACUCAAAGAAAUCAGUUCAAUGGCCUUUGGUUAAACCAGACUCUCCUUCUUUUUAAAAAAAAAAAAUGUUAAAAUGUAUUUAAUGCAUUAAAUUUGAG